rnacentral:rRNA from 1 species
UACGUAGGGUGCGAGCGUUAUUCGGAAUUAUUGGGCGUAAAGGGCGCGUAGGCGGCUUUGCAAGUGACGGGUGAAAUCCCCCGGCUUAACCGGGGAACUGCCUGUCAGACUGCAUGGCUUGAGACCAGGAGAGGUGAGUGGAAUUCCCAGUGUAGCGGUGAAAUGCGUAGAUAUUGGGAGGAACACCAGUGGCGAAGGCGGCUCACUGGACUGGUACUGACGCUGAGGCGCGAAAGCGUGGGGAGCAAACAGG